rnacentral:rRNA from 1 species
UACAGAGGUCCCAAGCGUUGUUCGGAUUUACUGGGCGUAAAGGGUGCGUAGGUGGUCAGGUAAGUCUGAUGUGAAAUCUUCGAGCUCAACUCGAAAACUGCAUCGGAUACUAUCUGGCUAGAGGAAUGGAGGGGAGACUGGAAUACUUGGUGUAGCAGUGAAAUGCGUAGAUAUCAAGUGGAACACCAGUGGCGAAGGCGAGUCUCUGGACAUUUCCUGACGCUGAGGCACGAAAGCCAGGGGAGCAAACGGG